AGACCGUGAUGUGGGCAUAGCCUUAUCAUGUCUCUGUAUCUCUCUCAAGGGUCAAAAAGUGAUUCAUUAUUCUUUUGUUUAAACCCUUUUAUUUGGCCUCUUAGCAU